GAUGAACGCUGGCGGCGUGCCUAAUACAUGCAAGUAGAACGCUGAAGGAGGAGCUUGCUCUUCUGGAUGAGUUGCGAACGGGUGAGUAACGCGUAGGUAACCUGCCUGGUAGCGGGGGAUAACUAUUGGAAACGAUAGCUAAUACCGCAUGACAACAGUUAUUGCAUGAUAUCUGUUUAAAAGGGGCAACUGCUCCACUACCAGAUGGACCUGCGUUGUAUUAGCUAGUUGGUGAGGUAACGGCUCACCAAGGCGACGAUACAUAGCCGACCUGAGAGGGUGAUCGGCCACACUGGGACUGAGACACGGCCCAGACUCCUACGGGAGGCAGCAGUAGGGAAUCUUCGGCAAUGGACGGAAGUCUGACCGAGCAACGCCGCGUGAGUGAAGAAGGUUUUCGGAUCGUAAAGCUCUGUUGUAAGAGAAGAACGAGUGUGAGAGUGGAAAGUUCACACUGUGACGGUAUCUUAUCAGAAAGGGACGGCUAACUACGU
rnacentral:rRNA from 1 species